rnacentral:rRNA from 1 species
AUUGAACGCUGGCGGCAUGCCUUACACAUGCAAGUCGAACGGCAGCACGGGUGCUUGCACCUGGUGGCGAGUGGCGAACGGGUGAGUAAUACAUCGGAACGUACCUUAUCGUGGGGGAUAACGCAGCGAAAGCUGUGCUAAUACCGCAUACGCCCUGAGGGGGAAAGCGGGGGAUCGCAAGACCUCGCGCGAUUAGAGCGGCCGAUGCCUGAUUAGCUAGUUGGUGGGGUAAAAGCCCACCAAGGCGACGAUCAGUAGCUGGUCUGAGAGGACGAUCAGCCACACUGGGACUGAGACACGGCCCAGACUCCUACGGGGGGCAGCAGUGGGGAAUUUUGGACAAUGGGGGCAACCCUGAUCCAGCAAUGCCGCGUGAGUGAAGAAGGCCUUCGGGUUGUAAAGCUCUUUUGUCAGGGAAGAAACACAGGCUCUAACACAGUCCGGGAAUGACGGUACCUGAAGAAUAAGCACCGGCUAACUACGUGCCAGCCGCCGCAGUAA